rnacentral:rRNA from 2 species
UGACGACUCUCGGCAACGGAUAUCUCGGCUCUCGCAUCGAUGAAGAACGUAGCGAAAUGCGAUACUUGGUGUGAAUUGCAGAAUCCCGUGAACCAUCGAGUCUUUGAACGCAAGUUGCGCCCCAAGCUGUUAGGCUGAGGGCACGUCUGCCUGGGUGUCACG